GAGGAUAUAGCUCAGUGGUGGAGUGCGUGCUUGGCAUGCAUGAGGUCCUGGGUUCAAUCCUCAGUGCCUCU
rnacentral:tRNA from 1 species